GUAGGUGAACCUGCGGAAGGAUCAUUAUUGAAUUUACAAUUGGGUUGCUGCUGGCCUUUAGAGGCAUGUGCACACCCUUUUUAAACUCUCCAUCCCUGUGCACACCCUGUAGGCUGAAAUUAAAACUCCAGCCUAUGUCUUUCACACACUAUAAAAAGUAUCAGAAUGUUGAAUUGCUUUGGCCUUUAAAAAGUCAAAUUAAAUCUAUACAACUUUUAGCAAUGGAUCUCUUGGCUCUC
rnacentral:misc_RNA from 1 species